GAAGGCACCCACCCUCACCCGAUCACCGAAGUUAAGCGACGUCGGACCGAAUUAGUACUUGCAUGGGUGACCAGCUGGGAAUCCUCAGUGUUGCUGGCC
rnacentral:rRNA from 1 species